rnacentral:rRNA from 1 species
CAGUAGCCGCGGUAAUACGGAGGGGGCUAGCGUUAAUCGGAAUUACUGGGCGUAAAGCGUGCGCAGGCGGUUUUGUAAGUCUGUCGUGAAAUCCCCGGGCUCAACCUGGGAAUGGCGAUGGAGACUGCAAGGCUAGAAUCUGGCAGAGGGGGGUAGAAUUCCACGUGUAGCAGUGAAAUGCGUAGAUAUGUGGAGGAACACCGAUGGCGAAGGCAGCCCCCUGGGCUAAGAUUGACGCUCAUGCACGAAAGCGUGGGGAGCAAACAGGAUUAGAUACCCGCGUAGUCCCUGUCUCUUAUAC